rnacentral:tRNA from 2 species
GCCCGAUUAGCUCAGCUGGUUAGAGCGUCGUACUAAUAUCAGAUUUCUGAUAUCAAGUCCAUGCGAAGGUCAACAGUUCAAUCCUGUUAUUGGGCA